CGUUCGAUAGCUCAGUCUGGUAGAGCAGCCAUUCUCGGAUGGCCUGACGCGGGUUCGAGUCCCGCUCGAACAC
rnacentral:tRNA from 1 species